rnacentral:rRNA from 1 species
AUUGAACGCUGGCGGCAGGCCUAACACAUGCAAGUCGAGCGAGCGGCGGACGGGUGAGUAAUGUCUGGGAACCUGCCUGAUGGCGGGGGAUAACUACUGGAAACGGUAGCUACUACCGCAUACCAUCAGAUUUGCCCAGAUGGGAUUAGCUAGUGGGUGGGGUAAUGGCUCAACUAGGCGACGAUCCCUAGCUGGUCUGAGAGGAUGACCAGCCACACGGGAACUGAGACAGGGUCCAGACUCCUAGGGGAGGCAGCAGGGGGGAAUAUUGCACAAUGGGCGCAGGCCGGAUGCAGCAAGGCCGGGGGUGGGAAGAGGGCCUCGGGGUGGUAAGGCACGUUCAUCGGGGAGGCGGUACCCGCAGAAGAAGCACCGGCUAACUCCGUGCCAGCAGCCGCGGUAAUAC